rnacentral:lncRNA from 1 species
GGAGAGCAUGGACCCUGAGGUCCCAGGAUUGUCAGCUGACCUCUGUCCUGUGUGCCCAGUGGCCCCAGGUGACGUGUCUUCAAGAAGAGGCUGAGCUGUGGUGCUUGUAAGGUCUCAGCCUUAGAUCCAAGGACAGUCCAAGGAAGUCCUAAGACCGUGGAGUUGGUGACCUGGGAUCUGGGUUUGCUGGUAUUUCUCACCAUGAAUCUCUUGGUGGUGUUUGUGGGCACCAGAGGGGCAGAGAAUAGAGAGUGAGGCUACCACAUGAAGCGUCACCAGAGCUGCUCCCUGCUGCCUGCUCAGAGCACCCUGGAUCCACUGUUCAAUCUGCACAAGAUUCGGGGUCCAGACAUGGGAGACUUCAGCUGCCUCGGAGGACCGUGGACAGGGAAGGCCAGCCUCGCAUCCCUCUGUCCAUGCCUGGAAUGACUUAACCAAGAGUUUUAUUCUUGAAUUUGUAGCUGUUGUUCACUUUUUACCCACCCAUUCAAUAAACCUUACAGAAUUGCUCCA